rnacentral:rRNA from 1 species
AGCGGGGGAUAACUAUUGGAAACGAUAGCUAAUACCGCAUAAGAGUGGAUGUUGCAUGACAUUUGCUUAAAAGGUGCACUUGCAUCACUACCAGAUGGACCUGCGUUGUAUUAGCUAGUUGGUGGGGUAACGGCUCACCAAGGCGACGAUACAUAGCCGACCUGAGAGGGUGAUCGGCCACACUGGGACUGAGACACGGCCCAGACUCCUACGGGAGGCAGCAGUAGGGAAUCUUCGGCAAUGGACGGAAGUCUGACCGAGCAACGCCGCGUGAGUGAAGAAGGUUUUCGGAUCGUAAAGCUCUGUUGUAAGAGAAGAACGAGUGUGAGAGUGGAAAGUUCACACUGUGACGGUAUCUUACCAGAAAGGGACGGCUAACUACGUGCCAGCAGCCGCGGUAAUACGUAGGUCCCGAGCGUUGUC